rnacentral:lncRNA from 1 species
AGCUUGAAUACAUAAUCAAAUGUAUGUCAAUAUGAACAUCAUAUCAUAAACAUAAAGCCUCCCACUAAAAUCAAGAUCAUAUCUUAAGAUACUUAAUACCCAUGGUUGCAGUAUGACUUUCAUACUUAGGUCAUGAAAGAGGCUUGGUCAAUGGAUCAACAACAUUUGCAUCCACUGAGACUAUACUAUAGUGCUUUGCUUGGAACUCUUCCAAUCCACCACUCUCCAUUAAGACAAAAUAUGAAACCAACUUUUGAUCAAAAAUCAUCUUUGUCAUUUUGAAAAACUGGCAUCGCUGUAACUA